rnacentral:lncRNA from 1 species
UGUGGGCUAUUACACUGAGCAAACAAUAAUACGGAAUCAUGAAAACAGAUACAGUAGGGAAAAGGAGACUGCUUCCUAAUGAAGUGGGAAUAGACUAGGUCUCCAGAGCCACAGAGCCUUCAGAGAAGCGGGUCUGAUUGCCCUGAAUAUUUCCCUGCUCAGCCGGGAAAGUAGAGAGGGUGAAGAGAAAUCCCAGUAAGAGUUCUCUCUAAUGUCCUUGCCCCUCACCCCAGUCCUCCUGUCCGCGCUAACGGGACGAAAAGGCAAUUCCCGGAUAUUUCACUUUUCUCCGCACUUUAACGGAGGGAUUUUCUUGGGAUAUCUGACGCAUGAACUCACCGAGACAGAAACAAUCCCUGGAUAUUUACCCCCACACACGCGUGCGCGCGCAAGAGGAGAAAAGCGCAGGCAUUUCCUCACACACACGCACUGGAGACGGGCCGCAGCUCUUCCUCCUCCUCCUCUCGGGCCGGGGACGGGAGGAGGACAGCGGGCUGCUCACACCUCACGCGUGUCCGCUGCAUGGGUAUCGCGGGCGGCGGCAGCCCCUCGACACCACGGCCCCACAGCGCCUCAGCCUCACGCUUCGUGCGGGGCUGCCUGGCCUCGCACGUCACCCCACGCCCUCACACGUGCCCUCACACACCCAGAUGUGCCCUCACACGUAACCCCACGCCCUCACACACUCACACGUGCCCUCACACACCCAGAUGUGCCCUCACACACCCAGACGUGCCCUCACACGUAACUCCAUGCCCUUACACACCCACAUAUGCCCUCACGCUCACAGACACUCCCUCACACACACGCGCGCUCCCCGUCCCGCCCUUGCACGCUCCCUCACACUCACGGACUCGCUCCCCGGCCCUCCUUGGCACACUCCCCCUUACACACUCACACACUCCCCUCACACACACGCCUCACACACACACCACACACUCCUCCCCCCCCCCCCCCUUACACACUCGCGCCCUCUCGCGCUCCCUCUCCCCAACGGCCGGCAACAAAGCGGCGGGCAGCGCGCGGGGCGGGACGCGCACACGGGCACACGCAGGCUCACACUCACUCACACACACUUACACACACUCACACUCACACAACGCUGCCGCGGCACCUACCAGGCGGGCAGCCUCGGCCCAGGCUGAAACGAGUUGGGAAUGAUUCGGGCUUUGUCCAGUGCCUCCUUCGUCCCUCCCCAGCCGUGUGCCCUCUUGGUUUCCCUAACGUCAAAACUCGCACGGCUCACUGGAGAAAUAAUAAAAAAAUAAUAAUAAUAAUUAAAAAUAUCAGUCCCAACUAGCGCAAUGUUCACAGAAUCACAGAAUUUCCAGGUUGGAGGAGACCUCAAGAUCAUCGAGUCCAACCUCUGACCUACCGCUAACAGUCCCCACUAAACCAUACCCCUAAGCUCUACAUCUAAACGUCUUUUUAAGGCUGUUUUAUUUAGAAAAGGACAGGGAACAGCCCUAGAGGAAGCCAAAGUGGCUCCCUGAUGGCGCUCCCUCCAGAAGCACUCAGGUGGUGUGCAGGGUUCCAGCUGUUGACACAUCCCCCUCAUCCCCCUCAUCCCCCUCAUCCCCCUCAUCCCCCUCAUCCCCCUCAUCCCCCUCAUCCCCCUCAUCCCCCUCAUCUUUAUAUUGGAAAUGGUACAUGGAAGGUAAUUCCUCACUGUGACGCCUCUCCAGAUUUCAUAUUUCAUUUUCACACUGAAAACCAUUAACAAAAC